rnacentral:rRNA from 1 species
AUUGAACGCUGGCGGCAGGCCUAACACAUGCAAGUCGAGCGGUAACACAGAGGAGCUUGCUCCUUGGGUGACGAGCGGCGGACGGGUGAGUAAUGCCUGGGGAUCUGCCCGAUAGAGGGGGAUAACUACGGGAAACUGUAGCUAAUACCGCAUAAUGUCUACGGACCAAAGUGGGGGCUCUUCGGACCUCAUGCUAUCGGAUGAACCCAGGUGGGAUUAGCUAGUUGGUGAGGUAAUGGCUCACCAAGGCGACGAUCUCUAACUGGUUUGAGAGAAUGACCAGUCACACUGGAACUGAGACACGGUCCAGACUCCUACGGAGGCAGCAGUGGGAAUAUUGCACAAUGGGCGCAAGCCUGAUGCAGCCAUGCCGCGUGUGUGAAGAAGGCCUUCGGGUUGUAAAGGCAACUUUCAGCGGGGGAGGAAGGGGCCACUAGGUUAAUACCUAAGUGGCAUUGACGUUACUCGCAGAAGAAGCACC